rfam:Myotis lucifugus cont2.45839, whole genome shotgun sequence.
GGCGGUUCUUAGGUGUCGCACCCCGGAAUUAGGGUCCCUCCUCUAUGGUUCCAGGUGCAUCACCUGAGAACUGCA